UUUGCAAGUCGUUCAGCCUUUUCGAAAGCUUGUUCAAGAUAAGAAUCAAAGAAGGGAUCAGAUGAAGGACUUGAAGUGCUAACGGCUGCAGAACAAGGUAGCCAUGUAGAACGUUGAGAUGCCGAUGGCUGAGCUAAGGGUUGGUCAGUUAGAGAGUUGGGAAGAUCGUUUGCAAAAUAUUUUUGAGAAUUAGUAAAGUUUGAAAUAUGUGAGGAUUGAGUAGGAGCAGAAGUAACGGAGGACGAAGCAAAGUUAGAAGUUAGAAUAUUAAAAUCGCGUGCCCAAUGCGUAUUAGAAAUUUCGGACGAAUUCAUAUUGAAAGACAGUUGGCUUGGCUUUAAAAAAGCAUUUUUUCCUUGUCGAAGUACGGAAGGUUGAGAUGUUGAAGAAUGCUGGAAAGAUUGGUACUCAUUAUUGAGAACAUUUUGGGGAACAAAAUUGCGAUUGCUUGAAGACGCAUAUGAUACAUUAUUAUUCGAUGAUUGGGAUAAAUUCCGGAAACAAAAGUUAGAAGAUUUUGAGUCAGCUGCGACAAGCUGCU